rnacentral:hammerhead_ribozyme from 1 species
GCACUGCUGAAGAGUCCCAUGCUGGGACGAAACGGCCGUCAAGUGC